UUUAGUAAAAAAAUCCCUACAAAUGGGACAAAAAUAUCUGUUUCAAUUGCACCCAAAGUUAUGAUAUGAAAACGAUAACAGAGCAACAAUAUCUUGGAAAAUUCAUCAGGAGAAACUUCACACUGACCUGGAUGUCAAGACUUCAGUGAUACCUGUCCUAAGACCCUCAACUCCCUGCUCACUCUGUAACAGGCAUAUAUUUAUGGUGACUCUGUUAAGCUGGAGAUGGAUCUUCUAUUUACCAUUGAUUGAAUUAUUCAGAGCAACCAUUUGGAAUGAACAUGGGUGCUGACAAGCCUAUUUCCCUGACAAGUAGAUUCAUUAACCUGAGGUUCAAUUACUUUUUCAAGGUGAGAUAUCUAGUGGACAGUGAAACUGAACCGUGAACUCAUGCCCGUAUGCAGGGGUUUGUGAUCCUCACAAAUACACAUCUCCAGAUUAGGUUUACUGGAUCAGGUUGUGAAAUACCAACUUCUUCCCUUUUGCUAAUACUAUGUUAGAAUGAUGAAAUGUAGGAUAAAAUGUAGAGCAGAGUGAUGAAAUGAACUGAAGCAGAAAGCAG